AGUCCUUGGAUAUUACACAGUACUACAGUACAAUAAAAUCCAAUAAGAGAAAUAAACAAGGGGAGUGAUGGCCAGACCUGGUGUCUGAGUGAUU
rnacentral:snoRNA from 1 species